rfam:Cajanus cajan Scaffold135550_2, whole genome shotgun sequence.
GCCAAUGAUGAAAGCCUUUAAUUUGACUGAAAUGCAAGAAUCUUGUAUUUCCUUGUUAAAAAUCUUGAACUAGGACGGUCUGAGGU